ACAAGAGAAUUUAUCCCUGGCCUUAGAUUGGAUGGUAUGGAUGUUCUCUGUGUGAGGGAGGCAACAAAGUUUGCUACAGAAUAUUGCAGAGCAGGAAAGGGGCCUAUCUUGCUGGAACUGCAGACGUAUCGUUUCCACGGGCACAGUAUGAGUGAUCCUGGAGUCAGGUA